UAUAAUUACACCCUGGACUGAUACUAUUACACGUUAAUAGAAUAGUAUUAUCCCAAUGUAGUUAUAUAGAGAUUAGGUAUUCUUAUCUACUGCUAUUUUCUAUUGGAAAGCUGGAUAUACAGAGACAAAGCGCUUGAAAUAGUAUAGCAGUAACGGAUAAGUAUAAGAUUCGUUUCCAUUUUACUGCAUUAUUUUCACUGAGUAGUUUUAUAUAUGUUAUAUACUAUGAAUAUAAUUAUUUAAGAUUUCAUUCAAAGACCAAUGUGAUUCUCAUGUUCGUAUUGUAGAGAUGGAGGAAGGGUUGACGAUUAACACAAGUAAUAUAUAUAUUCAACUACAUGAUGUAUAUGUAUUAGAAUAUAAUGUGCAAAGACUAUAAUAGGAAUUGUUUAUGGGGAUAGUAUAUUAUGGUAGUACAGAGGAAGGCAUAUAAGAUAAUAUGUUGUAUAAAUAAGACAAAAAUAGUGUAAGGUGAGUACUGAGAGAUAAUAUAUCGGCUGAUGGGCAACGUCAACCAGAAAGGAUUCUUGAAUUAUAGAUAUGAAAUUUAAUUCUAGAUAUCUUAGAAUUUAACCACUACCGAAAUCGGCUCACUACAAAAACGACUGUUUUCGCAAUAAGAUGGUCAGUUAGUGAAUCUCAUACGCAUGUCCCAUGAAUGUCUUGGCUACGUACAACUACAGCCGACUCCCAAGAUAUAUUUACAAAGGGGAGAUAAGAGCUGAAAAUAAAAUGGAAAGUAUAUAAAUCGUGAAAAACCAUAUCACAAAAAAUUAUUUAUUGCAAAGCAAACAAAAAUAAAGCGAUAUCAAAGGAUGAAAAGAAGAAAAAAAAGAGACAUGCGAAUUGUCGCCAAAGGAUAUGUAAAGAAAAUGGUAAUAAAUAAGAAUGUUUCAGAGUUACUUACAAUAAGAAGUCGAAAAGCGAUAAAUACUGAAUAUAUAAAAAAGAUUAACGUUGUGUUGAAAUGGAUUUAUAAAUAUUUCGGAGCGAUGUAUAUUUUUCAUAUAUUUAUAUUAUUUUCAAUAUAGACUUUUUUUCUUACAAACAUCACCGCUUCCAUAGAAUAAUCUGAUGCAAAAUCGACAAAACUCAGAAUACAUUAAUUGUAGAUAUAUCUACAGAUACGAGAAAGUAUAUUGGUAAAGAUAGAUUAGCGUUUUUUGGCUUCGUUAAACGAUCCUUCAUAGAUUCAAAACUAUUCAUAUAUAUAUAUAUAUAUAUAAAUGCGCGUGAUUCAGUGUGAGAGUAUCCGUCUUUGUUUGUAUCUGUAUGUCUUGAGGCAUACAGGUUUACAAGCAUAAACUGCAGAAAAGUAGUCGACAAGGUAUCAUUCCAUUCGGUAUUCUAUAUAAGUCGUAUUUAUAAAUAAACACUUGUUAUAAAUCUUAGUAAUAUA